rnacentral:rRNA from 1 species
GUGAACAACCUGCCCUCGUGUGGGGGAUAGCCGGGCUAACGCCCGGGUAAUACCGCAUACGUUCUCUUGGAGGAGUCUCCGGGAGAGGAAAGCUCCGGCGCACGGGGAGGGGUUCGCGGCCUAUCAGCUUGUUGGCGGGGUAAUGGCCCACCAAGGCGACGACGGGUAGCUGGUCUGAGAGGAUGGCCAGCCACAUUGGGACUGAGAGACGGCCCAGACUCCUACGGGAGGCAGCAGUGGGGAAUCUUGCGCAAUGGUCGAAAGACUGACGCAGCGACGCCGCGUGUGGGAGGACGCCUUUCGGGGUGUAAACCACUGUUGCCCGGGACGAACUUCUGGUUUCGACCAGACUGACGGUACCGGGUGAGGAAGCACCGGCUAACUCCGUGCCAGCAGCCGCGGUAAUACGGAGGGUGCGAGCGUUGUCCGGAAUCAUUGGGCGUAAAGGGCGCGUAGGUGGCCCGGUCAGUUCGUGGUGAAAGCGCGGGGCUCAACCCUGCGUCGGCCAUGAAUACUGCCGCGGCUGGAGCACUGUAGAGGCAGGCGGAAUUCCGGGUGUAGCGGUGGAAUGCGUAGAGAUCCGGAAGAACACCGGUGGCGAAGGCGGCCUGCUGGGCAGUUGCUGACACUGAGGCGCGACAGCGUGGGGAGCAAACAGGAUUAGAUACCCUGGUAGUCCACGCC